rnacentral:rRNA from 1 species
GAUUUCGCGACCUCAACUCAUGUGUAACUACCCCCUGAAUUUAAGCAUAUUAAUUAGGGGAGGAAAAGAAACCAACAGGGAUUCCCUUAGUAGUGGCGAACGAAACGGGAUCAGCCCAUCACGUAGGAUCAUAGGCUUAAUUGUCUAUUGAUCGUUUCCGUGUAAAGGAGGGUCCAUUAUCUUGCACAUAUAAACAUCAUAUUUAAGUCCAGCUUGAAUGCGGCUCAAUAUACCCACAGAGGGUGCCAGGCCCGUAUAUGUAUGAUGCUUGUGUAAGUGGGCUAUCAACUCCUAGGAGUCAUGUUGCUUGAUAGUGCAGCA